CUACGGGGCGCAGCAGUGGGGAAUUUUGCGCAAUGGACGAAAGUCUGACGCAGCAACGCCGCGUGGGUGAUGAAGGUCUUCGGAUCGUAAAACCCUGUCGUCAGGGACGAAGUGUUGGGGGCUAAUAUCCUUCAGCAUUGACGGUACCUGGAGAGGAAGCCCCGGCUAACUCUGUGCCAGCAGCCGCGGUAAUACAGAGGGGGCAAGCGUUAUUCGGAAUUAUUGGGCGUAAAGGGCGCGUAGGCGGUCUUUUAAGUCAGAUGUGCAAUCCCCGAGCCCAACUUGGGAACUGCAUCUGAGACUGGAAGACUCGAGUGCUGGAGAGGGUGGUAGAAUUCCACGUGUAGCGGUGAAAUGCGUAGAGAUGUGGAGGAAUACCAGUGGCGAAGGCGGCCACCUGGACAGUAACUGACGCUGAGGCGCGAAAGUGUGGGUAGCAAACAGGAUUAGAUACCCUUGUAGUC
rnacentral:rRNA from 1 species